rnacentral:rRNA from 1 species
UCGGAAGGCAGCAGUGGGGAAUAUUGCACAAUGGGCGCAAGCCUGAUGCAGCCAUGCCGCGUGUAUGAAGAAGGCCUUCGGGUUGUAAAGUACUUUCAGUCGUGAGGAAGGUGUUAAGGUUAAUAACCUUAGCAAUUGACGUUAGCGACAGAAGAAGCACCGGCUAACUCCGUGCCAGCAGCCGCGGUAAUACGGAGGGUGCGAGCGUUAAUCGGAAUUACUGGGCGUAAAGGGCACGCAGGCGGUUAAUUAAGUUGGAUGUGAAAUCCCCGGGCUUAACCUGGGAAUGGCAUUCAAGACUGGUUAGCUAGAGUCUUGUAGAGGGGGUUAGAAUUCCAUGUGUAGCGGUGAAAUGCGUAGAGAUGUGGAGGAAUACCGGUGGCGAAGGCGGCCCCUGGACAAAGGACUGACGCUCAUGUGCGAAAGCGUGGGGAGCAAAC